GAGAUUCCCACUGUCCCUGUC
rnacentral:snRNA from 1 species